CUGUGGCUUUGGGCCUCGCAGCCAGAGCACCGCAGCGCGCCCCUCCCGCACCAGGAAAGGGGGCGGGCGCCCCGCAGGGCACCCAGCGUCCCCCCGCUGCGCCCCACUCUCCCGCCACGCCGCUCACCACCCGGGCUGGGGACCAAGCCUUGGCACGUGGCCUCUAGGCAGCGCAGGCUCUGCUGCCCGGAGCGGGAGUGCUCAGCGUCCGGGUGGGGCAUCUCCCACCCUUCUAGGCGGACUGGCCCAGCCUUUCACAGGUUUGCCUCUCGUUAGGGGGCUGGAGGCCUUACAGUCAGACUGAGACCAAAGGAAGGGCCUUCCUGGAGAGCGGUGCUCCGUGUUUCCAUCUCCACCUCGCCUCCUCCUCCUCCUCCGGCAGCUGAGCGCUUGUCAGCCAGGCCUGUCUGGAGCUGUGGCUGCGCAUAGUAUUUUUCUAUCAAUCCGUUCUGUGAAUACACUCAAAACCGUAUCCAAAAUUAGCUUCUGUUCACAUUAUCUACUCAUUAAGAUUUAUCUACUGCAGUACUUCACAGUUUUCCAUCAAAAUAUCCCUAAUGGCAGGGAAAGUAGACAGAAUGAAUGGAUGAGCCAAGCUGGGCCCGGGAGAUAGGACUUUCCUCAGUGUCAUGUUUUAACCUAAAAUGUCAUGCAGACUUUGCAUUUCUUGCUUUCUGUCUAUUUUCUUCUUUUCAAGUUGAUGCUGCGUGGAAAAGACUGACUUAUACCGUGGUUCUCCUGGCCCCUAGCAGGCUGACACACGCUCCAAAAGGCACAGAAAUGCGAAACUCAGAUGGCUUCCCUGCUGUUGGGUGGGGUUUCAGCUCUUUUUAGUGUGUUAGACCUACAGUUCUCUCUGAGAAAGGCUACGGAUGGCUGAUGUACAAUAAUUUAUAGCCACUGGUGUUACCAGAAUAUUUAUGUAUAAUCAUAAUUUUCAGGCUGUGAGGUUCUUGGGAAAGAACCUAGUCAUUUAAAAUGAAGUUCAGGGCCGGAGAUUUAGCUCAGUGGUUUCACUGCCUGCUCUGCAGGCGCAAGGACCCUAGUUUGAUCCCCAGUACCAAAAAACAAACAAAAAAAAGAAGUUCAAUUUUUUUUUUUUUUUCUGGUACCAGGGAUCAAACAUAGGACCUUGCACUUGUGAGGCAGGCACAGUGCCACUGAGCUAAAUCCCUGGCCCUUUUUUUUUUUUUUUAAACAGGGUGUUGCUAAGUCACUAAAUUGCUCAGCCUAGGCUUCAGUUUACAAUCCUUUUGCCUCAGGCUCCCAGAGAGUGCUGGGAUUAUAGAUGAGAGCCGCCCUGUCUGUGGAGAGAGUGCAAUCUUAUAGGAGUAAGAUGAUUGUCAGACCCACACUUUCAGGAACAGGCUGAACUAGAACCUGAUUGCACCUGGGCUUUUGUUUUGUUUUGAAUUGUUUGUGUUUCUGGGUGUGUUUGUGUGCUGGGUCUCGGGUAUUUUUCCUCAGCAAUGAGAGAGAAAAAGUAACAGACAAAUAGCAUUCUAGUAAAGCAUUGCAUUCAUCUGCUUGGAAAGCUGUAGUAAAAUGCCACAGGUAGCUUAGACAACAGAAGGUCACUUUCUUGCAGAUCUGCAACCAGAAGUCCAAGAGCAAGGGGCUCCCAGUGCUGCUUCAGCAAGGGCUGUCUUCUGGCUCACAGACUCCACCUUCUUGCAGUGGCCUCAGUGGCGCCUUCUCUGUGUGCACACAGGAAGAGGGUUCUAGGUCUCUUCCUCUUGCUAUAAGGAUACAGUCCAGAUUAAAGACCCUUAUGACCUUCUCCUGCUGAAACAAAAUACCCAACACCCGAAGUUAAAGGAGGAAAGGUUUCUUUGGCUCACAGUUUAUAGAGGUUUCAGUUCAUAAUUGGGUGGCUCCAAGACAGGGUGGCAUAGCAGAAGAGAAACAGUUCAUGGCAGGCAGAAGUCAGCAAAGUAGCUAAGAAGCAGCAAGUAAGACAGCAGGCUUUUUUUCUGUCCCUUAUAUCCUACCCAGGCUACCCACCCUUAGGGUGGGUAGUACUCACACCCAGAGUGGGCCUUCCCAUUAUCCACACAAAGAACUAUGCCAAACCAAUCAGUGGACUAAUUUAGUAAUCACCCUUGAUCCCAGGAUCACACACUUCAUCCCAGCCUCAUAUACUCUAGAUCCAGCCACCUCUGAAAAUCCCCACUUAUGACUGAUGAGGCUUUGGAGGGGGAACAUUUAAAUACAAGCCAUAACACCUUAUAUAAGUUUAAUUACCUCAUAUUAGCUUCUUGACACUAGGACAAAAUAUCUGUUGCUCAUAACACAAAGGAAGAGAAGUUUUGGCUCCCAGCUUCAGUGGGUUCAGUCCAUGGUUUACUGGCUCCAAGGCAGAAACAAUGGUGGAAGGGCCUGGCAGAGGAAAGCUGCUCAUCUAAGGGCAGCCAGGAAACAGAGAGAAGGGAGGCACUAGGGAGGAGAAUCCACCCUUCCAAGUCAUGACCCCAGUGACCUGUGUCGUCCAACCAGGGCCCACCUCCUGACAGACUGUUCAGCUAUGAACUUAUCAGUAGAUCAGUCAACUAAUAAGCCUAGCAUGUCAUAAUCCACUCAUCUUUUAAAAGCCCUACCUUGGAAUAAUGAGACUUUGGGGGGAUAGUUUAGACCUAAACUAUAGUACUUCACUGAGGUCCUAUCUAUAAACACUAUCACAUCCAGGGCUAGGCCUUCCACAUAUGAAUUUUGGAGAACAUAAUUCAUUCCACAAUAGCAUCUAUGCACCUAUCUGUUCAUCUAGAUUUCUGGCUCUUGAUAGAGUUUAUCAAUUAAUUUACCAAAAAAGAGAAGAAAAGGGAAGACAAGAAGAAAAGGAAAUUUUAAAGCUCAAUUAUACAUUUCUACUUGUGUAAGACUUAAAUUUUUAAAAAAUCAGAUAAUUACCUAUGACCUUGGAAAGCAGCUGGGGGCGCAGGAUUGGAAUGCAGAGCAGGUGAUAGUUGGAAGGAAGGGUGAAGUGUGGAUGUUUCUUUGAAGCCCAGAAGCUGAGUGUGGGUUGAGCGUCGGUGGAGUUGGAGAGGAAGAGUGCCCUUAGUGCAGGGUUCUGAGAAAAAGGGUUGCUCGGGGACAGAUGUCUAAAACUGGGAGAUCCACUUCCCAAGACCUAUUUUUCCUGUGUUACUCUGUGUGUGUUUCCUCAUCUGUAGAAUGAUGACAGUAGUGCUACAAAUAAACCAAAUGUAAGGAAAACCCUUUCCUAACACCUCCAUGAUCUUGUGAAUCCGCCCCCUUUCCACAUGGAGCUAUUGCUCCACACCCCAAAUGCCAAGCACCUGGUCCCAGAUGUAAAUGAGCCCAAGGGCUAUGCAAUGAGCAGCACACAUCUGUACUGAAGACCCCUUCCAGGAAGCCCUCAUAUUUCAAAUCACGCCUGCCUCAGCCCACAGGAGUCAGAACCAAGAUGCUGCUUGGUCCUACUGCCCCUGCUGCCUUUUGGCAAAACAAACCCUUGUUGAAACUUUCACUGGUGCCUGUGAGGACCUGAUCCUUCUGUGGUUCAGAACAAUCUCCCUCUUAGCCUUGGGGAUGUCCUCCCCAUUUGAAACUCGGCAAGAAUAAAGGAGAUGAAUAACCUGAAAGGAAGGUGCUAUGCCCCUUGCAGGCACACUUGCUGGUCUCCGGGGAAGGUACCAGUAUCAUCCAAGUUGUCCUGAGAGACCAGUCUUAGCUUUUACUCAGAAUUGCUUAAAAUUUACAAGUUCUGGAAGGUUUCCUCAUGGGCGUUGUACACUUCUGUUACACAACACACACGACAAUAGGAAAUGCCUACACUCACCUCUGGCUGGUGUGUGGGUUUUCUGUAACACCUCUGCAAAGGGUUUGCCAGUCUCAGAAUCAGCAUUGAGACCUGUGAGUCUCUACUCUUAUCAGGGAGAAGAAGACUUCAGAUGUCCUGGCUUUUGGAAGAGAAAGUUAUCUUCAAGUUGAUCCUCAGAAAAACUUGCCUUUCUCACAGGUGCUUUUCCUUCUGCCUAUUCCUUGUGUCCCCUCAUUACAGAACAUCUUGGGGUCCAGACACGCCCACAAUCCUGGUCUCUUCCUCAUAAAACAGUCAUUGGUGUGUAUGUGGGAGCUGGGGACUCUUUCAUGCCUUUCACAUACAGAUUAUAUGCAUUUCACUAGCAUUGGGAAACUGAAUUCAUACAUGCUUUUAAAGCUUUAUUUUGUUGGGAGUCAUGGUUUAGUUAUUUCAUGCAUCAUUUAGUUAAUUAGGUAUUUUGCUCGGUUAGAUAUGCUUAAUUAUCCAUGUAUACAAAUGAAAUAAUCACUGUAUCAGUCACCCAGAAAUCCAGUGUUUUCUGUCCUACACUCAAUUGUGUGUUCAAUGUUAAAUUUUUGAUUGUUGGCAGAUUGGCAGCCCCAAAUCCUGGGAACACUAAAAGUUCCCCAAAGCACAGUUUUGGGAGAAUAAUCUUGAAGGGACUGCUGUCACCUGGUGCUGAUCAUGGAUUAUCUCAGACCUUGAUUCUAGAGCUCACACCAUCUCUGAACCCAACCAUCACCUUUAUUCUAGACAGUAUCUGUUUUGACAGGAGAGCACCUGAUGAAUUUCUCUACCAUUUUUUCUCUCCAAGGCAAGAUAUUGCUUUAAUAAACUCAAUGGGCUUCCACAAAACACUGUUCUUAGGAAUCCAAUGUAGAGGGUUUGAUUUAAUGGAUGUGUCUUAGUUAUUUUUUUCAUUGCUGAGACAAAAUACCCAACACCCAAAGCUAAAGGAGAAAAGUUUUAUUUUGGCUCACAGUUUGUAGAGGCUUCAGUGCAUAGCUGGCUGGCUCUAAGACAGGGUGGCCUGGCAGAGGAGAAAUGGUUCAUGGAGGGCAGAAGGCAGCAAGCAACAAGUAGCAAAGAGGGACCAAGCGACAGCCUUUUUCUGAUCCUUGUAUCCUAACCAGGCUAUCUGCCCUCAUAGUGGGCAGCACUCACAUCCUUAGUCCUCGCAUUGCACCAUGAAUGAAUCCUAGCGUCACAUACUAGAGAUCCAGCCUCCUCUGAAAAGCCCCACUUAUGACUGCAUGAGACCUUGUGGGGACAUCUGGACACAGCCAUAACAGGAUGUGAUUCAGCUUUCAAAACAGCCACUGACAAUUGCUGGUCAUGCAGACCCAGCUAUUUAUUCUCUUUGCCACCACAAGGCCCCUCACAAUCUCCCGGCCCUGGACUGGAUUUAUUCCAGCUGUUUUUCAGGCCUUUUAUUUAGGACUUUUUAAAAGAUCACAAAUGUCCCUGAAAAUUCUUUGAAUAAAUUUCCCUGCAUUAUAUGAAAAGUGGCCCGUGAUAAUGACCCACCUAAAGACGUAAUAACAUCACCAAAUAGGAUCCCUGUGUUGAAGGCUCUGUGUAUUGUUAAUUUUAUUUAAUCAAAGAUUCCAAGAUGGUUUUACAAAGACUACUUGCCCCACAUGUUGUGUCAAAGGACACUCUUAGCAGCAGUUCCUGCUUCUACACAGUCUUCAGCAUUUGUCCAUCUCUGGUCCUUGCCCAUUCAGUGGGUGAGAAAAUGGCAUCCCUUCAAUUUCCUGCUAGUGAGGUUGAGCAAGUUUUCUAUAUAUUUGUUAGCUUUUGCAUCUUCUCUUCUGUUGAUCACCAGCUUAUGCACUUUGCCCAUUUAAGAAAACUGAGUUCUUUGUCUUUUCUAAAAAUCAAUUUGUAAGGGUUUUCUUCUGCACAAUUGGGAUAUAUCUGUAUUUUGUGAGAUAUAUUAUUAGUAUUUUAUCCCAAACUAUUAUUUUUCUUUUUGAUUCAUGAUGUCUUUUGCCUUAUAGAAAAUGUAUCAUUUAGGUAGUCAAAUCAGUCAAUCUUUUAAAUAUAUAAAAAUACACUAUGCAUAUAUCUGUACAUAUAUACAUGCACUAAGAUAAAUUUAAGUGUGUAUCUAUAUACUGUAUGUAUAUUGUGUGUAUCUACAAGAUAAAUGUGUGUAUACAUAUAUAGAGAGAUCAGUGUUUCAGUGACCAAUGUCCACCAUUCUCGGUUACUUAGAAGUUAUCUGUGUAUCUGGGCACAGUGGUACACACCUGUAAUCCCAGGUACUAGGAAGACUGAGAUAGGAUCGCAAGUCCAAGGCCAGCCUGUGCUUAGUGAGACCCUUUUCAGAAGAAAAUGAAAAGAAUAAAAAAGAAAUGUUAGAGAUUGAAAACGCUAUAGGAGAAAUAAAGCAAGCCUCAUUCUAGACACAGGUGAAGGGAAAAACCCUACUACAUUUGAGUGUGUAUCAUUAGGAUAUUUCCAAACCGAGGAGCAAAAGAGAAAAAAAAAUGGGGAAAAGGGACAGAAUAGUCAAGAACUGUGGGACAGCUACAGAUAGUGUAAUACAGGCUCAGUGGAGAAGACAGGGAAGGAUCAGAAGGAAACAGUUGUAUGUGGAGCAAUAAUACAGUAACUGAGACUUUCCUCAAACUAAUGUCAGGGGCCAAACCUUAGCUCUAGGGAAAUCCAAGCAGAAUAAAUGCCCCCAACUAAAUCAGGCAUAUCAUAUUCCAACUUUAGAAAAAUGAAAGAUAAAGAAAAAAAUUUUAUAAAAGCCAACUUUUCCUACUGAGAAACAAAGAUAAGGAAAAAAGUCUUGAAAGAAGCCACCACUCUUUCCUAUUCAGACUCAAAGAUAAGUAUUACAGCCAACUUCUCAGAAAUCACACAACCAAGAAGGGAGUGUAGUAAAAUAUUUGGAAUGUUGAGGGGAAAAAACCCACAACAUAGAAAUCUGUAUCCAACACAAUUUCCUUCAAAAUAAAGGCAAACAAGGAUUUUUUCAGACAAAAGUUGGGGAAUGUGUUGCUUUGCAAAAAAUGUUGAUGGAAAUGCUUUUCAGAGAAGCAAAAUGAGAUUGAUUAGAAAUUCAGGACAAUGUAAAGAAAAGCACUAGGAGAAUAAAUAAGUGAAGGUAAAAUUAAAACUUGUUUAUUAAAUUUCUAAUUGAUUCAAGAGAUAAGUUUGUUCAAAAUGACGAUCACAAUGUAGCCAAUAUAUACACACACGUGGUCAUGUCUGCACACAUUAUUAUACAUAUGUAAACAAGAUGAGAGCAGGGAGUGGGAAGGGAGGCAGGACCACUUCAUUAUACUACAUCUGCAUUCCCUGCGAAACAGUGCGGUGUCACUUGGAAGUGGAACUUGAUUCUUUGUAAAUAAAUAUUGCAAACUACAGUUAAAACAAGUAUAACUGGUAUGCUAAGAAAGCAGAGGAAGUGGAAUCAUAUAAGGUGCUCAGUUAAUACCAAAAAGCCAGAAAUGAAAGGUAGGAUCCAGAAACACAGGCAAGAAAUAGAAAACAGUAGUAAGUAGGGGAGGUUGUAUCCAACUAUCUGUGCCACAAAUCACUAAACAUUAGUUGUGUAAACACAAACUGAGAGACAGGUUAUCAAUGUAGAUUUAAAGGAGAUCCAGUGACCUGGAGACAGCAGUGCAUGCCUGCAGUCCCAGCCAUUCUGGAGGCUGAGAUGUAAGGAUCCCUUGAGUCCAGGAGUUCAAUACUAGCCUGAGUAGAAAGCAAGACCCUGUCUCAGAAAAAACAAAUCGCAACAAAGGCCCAAAUAUACACUAUCUACAAAAAGAUUAAAAAACUCAAAAAAAAGAACAAAAGCUAAACUUUGGGCUGGGGAUUUAGCUCAGUGGUUUUGCCACCUGCUGUGCAAGCACAAGGACCCGAGUUCAAUCCCCAGUACCAAUAAAACCCUCACUUUACAUAUAAACUCACUUUACAUACAGUCAAAAAAGUAAAAAGAUGGAGAAAAACAUACCAUGUUAAUACUAAUCAAAAGAAAGCAGAAGCCGCUGUAUUAAUUUUGGACAAAGUGAACUUUCUGCUAGUUUGUGUUUUGAGACAAGCUCUUGCUAUGUAGUCCAGGCUGGCCUCAAACUUGCCGAGCUAGACAAAGCCAGCUUCUGAGCAAAGAAAUGCACCAGGGAUAAAGAUGGGCACUGCAGAAUGACAAAGGUAAUUCUCCAAGAAGAUAUAACAAUCCUUCAUUUGUAUUUGUGCAUAACAAGAGAGCACCAAAAUAUGUGAGGUAAAAACUAAUAGAAAUGCAAGAAAAAGAUGAACUCAUUAUUAUAGUUGGACACUUCCAACUAACAGAAAUGGGCAGAUCUCAAAGGUACAAAAUCUGUAAGCACAUAGUUGAAUUCAUCAACACCAUCAAUCAACUGGAUAUAACUGACAUUUAUCAACUACUUGUCCAGCAACAGUGGAGUACACACGCUUCUCAUAUUCACAAGGGAAGUUUAUUAUGGUAGAUCACAUUCUUGGCCCUAAUACACACCUUAAUUGAUGUAAAAUAACAAAAAUGUCUAUUCUUAGACCCCAAUAAUGAACCUAGAAAUUAAUAACAAGAAGAUAGGAAAAUCCCAAGAUACUUGGACAUUAAACAACACAUUGGUCAAAGAGGAAAUCUCAAGAGAAAGUAAAAAUACUUUGACUGAAAAUGCAAUUGAUCAAAAUAUGUAGAAUGUAGCAAAAACUGUGUGAAAUUUAUAUCUUUUAAUGGAUAUAAUAGAAAGGAAGAAAGAUCUAAAGUCAAUAAUCUAUGGUUCUAAGAACUGUAUAAAGAAGGCCAAACUAAAUCCAAAGAAAGCAGAAGAAAAGAAAUAAUAGAUAUUAGACUAGAAAUCAAUAAAAUUAAAUAUGGAAAAGUGGUAGAGAAAAUCAACAAAAACCAAAGGCUGGUUCUUUGAAAACACUAGUAAAACUGGUAAGCCUCUGGCCAGGCUGACCAAGAAAGACACUGGAGAAGGAAGGACUAGAAUAGGAAUGAAAGAGGCCAUCACUACAGGCUCUGUGAAUAACGGGCUUCUGUGAACAGCUCCAGGCCCACAGAUCUAACAACUUACAGACUAAACAUAAAAAACUUAAGGUGGAGAAAGAUGAAAUGGGCCAAUUCCUUGAAAGACACAAUCUGCCAAAACUAACACAAGGAAUUAACUAUCUGAAUUGACCUAUAUCUAUUAAAGAAG
ensembl:lncRNA